GUUAUCCUGUUUAGAUGUAUAUUGAUAGUUAGGAGUAUUAUAAGUAGAUAAAAAUAUAUAGAACUCAUCUAAAUUGUGGAUUAUUUUGAAUCGACUAUUCAACUUUUCAAAAAAAAAUUUUACUGCUAAGUAUGCAAACGGUGCUAAUCUAGGAGCGGGAGCCCCGCCUCGAAUCCGUGACGAAUUAAAAAAUAUAUCCCAUAAUCUGUCCCACCUUAUAACUCACCUCUUGCCGGCGCCACGAAUCCCCCCUGCCAAUUAAUAUUUUUUUACAAAAUUUAUAAUAUCAUUAAUAUUUUGUAAAAUGUAAUUAAUAUUUUAAUAAUAAUGAGUAGUAUUACUAAGUUAUAUAUAUAUAAAAUUAACAAUAUCAAUUACAAAAAUUAAAAAUAUCAAUCACAAUUCAAAAGUUUUAAAUACAUAAGAAAUGAGAGCACCGACUAAUUUGUAUUUUAGACUUUUUGUAAAUAUAUUAUUUUUUANAUAUAUAUAUAUAAUUAACAAUAUCAAUUACAAAAAUCAAAAAUAUCAAUCACAAUUCAAAAGUUUUAAAUACAUAAGAAAUGAGAGCACCGACUAAUUUGUAUUUUAGACUUUUUGUAAAUAUAUUAUUUUUUAGGAAUAUUUUCUUAAAAUAUAAACGAUUUUCGGAAUAGAUUCAGAGCGAAUCAUGGCGGGACGGAUUUGAGACGAGUCAAAAAAUUUUUACGUUUCCUGACCUGAAUCCGUCUCGGAUUAUAAAAAUUAUCCCUUUUCUUUGCCCCAAAUCCAUUUAUUUCUCGUCGUUUAUUGUCCCAUUCGGGGCAGAGCGGGGCGGGAGCUCCACCAACCCAGAUCUGUUUACAUCCCUAUUUACUACCCAACCAUUCAUUUAAGAUAUUUUGACUUCAAAUUUUAAACUAAUAUUUAUUUUAAUAAAUUUAUAAUUAUGAAAAUUACAUAAAAUAUACUAACUAAAUCUGUAGAAUAAACAAUACAUUUAAUUUUGAAGGUAAAUUACUGUUAACUGACUCUAAUCACAC
rnacentral:lncRNA from 1 species